AACCCAGCCAAAUCUUCCACAUUCACAAUCUGUACAGUGGGUCCCGACUAAACCCCUCCGAUCAGUACAAAUCACGUGCCACGUGUCUAUUUCUUCAUUCGUUGACCAUAAUUGACCAAGUUUCAAAAACCCAAAUAAAUAAAUCCGACGGCCAAAACUUCUCGUAGGCUCUGUAAUCUCUCCUGUUCUGAAUCCAAAAUCUCCCAAUCCCAAAUCCGUCAUUCAUUGCAGGGGGGCGCCAAAACCCCCAAUAUAUUAAAAAAAAAAAAAA
rnacentral:misc_RNA from 1 species